rnacentral:lncRNA from 13 species
GGCGGGUCUCGGAAUUCGCCGCGUGGGAAGUACGCGGCUUGCUGCUUUAAAAAAAAAGCGGCUUCUUAGGUUGGAUCUGUUUUUUUCCUGUUCAUAUCCAAUUUUUACCAGAAGAUGGCGAGGUAUCCCCACGUUUCCACUUCCAAGCCCUAAAGUUUACACCUUUACCCCCAGUUAUAUCUGUUAUUUUUCUCCAGUAAUCCGAAUUAAAACCUCAAUUUCAAGACAUUUUGUUCCCUCAACUUUGGAGGGUGGAAAAGGGGCGUUGGUUGUGAUAGCAAAGAUUGAGACUUUCAGAUGAAAACUUGAAGAACCAGACAGAGACCCUUCAGUACCCAAUGAACUUCAGUGAGAGAUUCCCAGGUGGACCUGAUGCCCAUGAAAGUUUGAGAAUACGGCCGGUCGCGGUGGCUCAAGCCUGUAAUCCCAGCACUUUGGGAGGCCGAGACGGGUGGAUCACGAGGUCGAGUAAUCGAGACCAUCCUGGUCAACAUGGUGAAACCCCGUCUCUACUAAAAAUACAAAAAAUUAACUGGGCAUGGUAGUGCGUGCCUGUAAUCCCAGCUACUCGGGAGGCUGAAGCAGGAGAAUUGCCUGAACCCAGGAGGUGGAGGUUGCGGUGAGCCGAGAUCGCGCCAUUGCACUCCAGCCUGGGUAACAAGAGCGAAACUCCGUCUCGGAAAAAAAAAGAAAAGAAAGUUUGAGAAUACAGCUGUCCUCCACAUUUCCCUUGCUUUUUUGAUCACUCAUGCUGCUUUGUCCCUAGCUUCUCCAAUUCUUCAUCUCCAGGCUUCAUCCUACCAAGAAACAAAGUUCAUUGCCAGUGAACAUAUAGCCUAGUUCCUCCUUAGCAGCUGAAGAGGAGGAACUUAAAUACUUACAAUUUAAUAGUUUUUGGUCAUAUAUAUAUAUAUAUAUAUAUAUAUAUUCAGACAGAUAUCUUUUUUUUUUUUUCAAAAAACUAUGUAAAGGGGAACUGUGCUUUUUGCUAAAAUAAGCUAGUCCUACAGCUAUUGCUGUCAGUUAGAUAAAAAACAUUGCAGGAAGAAAAAAAGACUUCAUGAAUUCCUUUUCCUUUAAAUAGCAUAAAAUUUAAGAGAAUCAUAAAUUGAUUACUAAAUGAAUCGGGCCAUGAUACUAAUGAAAUUAUAGUAAUAUUAAAAUAACCAAGGUAGAAAGUUAGAAGAGAACACAUUGAAUUAAUUCUAAUUUUUAAAUAAUUUUACAGUUUAAGAGACACAGUAAUAGAUCUUACUAAUUUUAAAUUUUCAGACUUUAGAGUGAGAUUUAUCAUACAAUUGUUAUUACUGAAAAGAGAGUUUAUGUGAAAUAUUGAGGAUGGUUUCUGGGUAAUACCAGUUUGGUUUUAGAAGCAGUGUGAAACAAGUGGGCAUCUUUAGGGUGAGCAUUAAGUACCCUGCAUUGGCUAAAAGUCUGGCAUACAUUCAAAAUAUUACUUGUUAAAUAUGUGCAUAUUCUCAAUUUAGUAAGAAUGGAAAUCACCUGACUUUUCAUUAAUUAAAUUUAAAUACAGACACUCUCAUAUAGAUUUUAUUUUCACCAGACUAAACAUAAAUAUUGAAUGGGUAGUUUCUGAUCUCCUGUUGUUCCUGUUCUCCUUUCUAGGUUUCCUUUCAUUUUUGCUUCAUUUUGGGUUGAUUUUCUGAAUGAGGCAACACACUGUAUUAAAUGAUUUACAUUUAUUUACUAUAAUAAAAUGAAACACUGAACUGUUUUUUACUGCCUC